UCGUGCUGGGGAUAGAGCAUUGCAAUUAUUGCUCUUCAACGAGGAAUCCCUAGUAAGCGCAAGUCAUCAGCUUGCGUUGAUUACGUCCCUGCCCUUUGUACACACCGCCCGUCGCUACUACCGAUUGAAUGGUUCAGUGAGGCUUUCGGACUGGCCCAGGGAGGUCGGCAACGACCACCCAGGGCCGGAAAGUUAUCCAAACUCGAUCAUUUAGAGGAAGUAAAAGUCGUAACAAGGUCUCCGUUGGUGAACCAGCGGAGGGAUCAUUGCUGGAACGCGCCCUAGGCGCACCCAGAAACCCUUUGUGAACUUGAUACCUUACUGUUGCCUCGGCGCAUGCUGGCCCCCUCGGGGUCCCCUGGAGACAGGGAGCAGGCACGCCGGCGGCCAAGUUAACUCUUGUUUUUACACUGAAACUCUGAGAAAAAAACACAAAUGAAUCAAAACUUUCAACAACGGAUCUCUUGGUUCUGGCAUCGAUGAAGAACGCAGCGAAAUGCGAUAAGUAAUGUGAAUUGCAGAAUUCAGUGAAUCAUCGAAUCUUUGAACGCACAUUGCGCCCUCUGGUAUUCCGGAGGGCAUGCCUGUUCGAGCGUCAUUUCAACCCUCAAGCAUUGCUUGGUGUUGGGGCACUGCCUGUAAACGGGCAGGCCCUGAAAUCUAGUGGCGAGCUCGCUAGGACCCCGAGCGUAGUAGUUAAACCCUCGCUUUGGAAGGCCCUGGCGGUGCCCUGCCGUUAAACCCCCAACUUUUGAAAAUUUGACCUCGGAUCAGGUA
rnacentral:rRNA from 1 species